GACAGAGGGUGCGAACGUUGUUCGGAAUUACUGGGCGUAAAGCGCAUGUAGGCGGCAGCGCAAGUCGGGCGUGAAAUCCCACGGCUCAACCGUGGAAGUGCACUCGAAACUGCGCAGCUAGAGUCCUGGAGAGGAAGGUGGAAUGCUUGGUGUAGGAGGUGAAAUUCGUAGAUAUCAAGCGGAACACCGGUGGCGAAGGCGGC
rnacentral:rRNA from 1 species